GGGAAGGGCUGGGCUCGGUCCAACCCCCUCAGCCAGCGGGUGCGACCAGCGGGUGCGUGGAGCGAGCGCGGACUCUGCCCGCCGCAAAGCGCAGAGCCACCCCCAGCAACAGCCGCUGUCCCGGGCUCCUCCAAAUGGGUCCCGAGCCAACUUGGCAGGCUAAGCAGGAGGAUUUAGGAGGCAGAGGGACCCGAAGAAGAUCUCUGUGUAGCCCCAAAGCUCGUCUCUCUCAGCUACAGCCGAUAGUCCCAUAAAAGAAGAGCUCCCUCCAGUGCAGUAUGAAGAAGCCUGCUGCUGCCUGUCCUAUACUUGUUUUAUAGUUAGACAGAUCUUCUGCCUGCCAACUAUCAGACCAACAUUUUUCAAGGGCUAAAUCCUGACCUUUGGUGAACACAUGAAGCACCUAGUGAAGUCAGUGGAAAUACAAAAUGUGAUCCACAAGUCAUUUCACUGUAAGCACUCCUGGCCUGUUUUUCAGUGGUCUUCUCAAAGCUCACAGAGAGGAAGAAAGAAAAGCCAUUGAUGAGCCACAGGAAAUGGGUACACUUUCAGAGUUGCCUGACCACUCUUAGAUGUCCCUAAUCUCUACUACUGGCAACUGGUUCUUUUAUUACAUGCUGCUACAGGACUAACAAAAUUAAGGCUUUUUCCAGAUUUAUUGUUGCUCUGGACCCAACAUUUACUCAAUCAUACAAAGAGAUGAAUUCAUGGGUUUACUUGUUGCUGCUUCUAGACUUUCUGGCACUGACUGUUCUGCUUCCGUGUAACAAAUAAUAUUUUUUUUAAAAAGUCCAUAAUAUAAAACAAAAUUCAUUGUCAUAUGCAUAGUCACACAGUUGCUAUUUUGUACUGUAACAUAUGAAGGUGUGUUAUUUCUGCUAUUUAAAGAACAUUAAAUAACAGGUUUUUUCAGAAUCAACACCAAACAUAUGUGCAUAAUUCCAGAGAAAAUAAAGGAAAAACAAGCAUUAAAUACAAACAACAGCUCUGUUCAGGCAGCAGCCACAUGCUGGCCUAGUUUACCAAAAUUAGUUGGGAAAACUUCUUCCCACACAGACUCAUCUUAUCUAAGGUACCAUCACAAUAUUAGAAUUUUUAAGACAAUUUAAAAUGUUUUACUUUCAGAAGGCUGACUUCUCACAGAGCUCAGAAUUCCAUCUUAGCAGGAGAAAAUACCUGCUUAGGCUGCUUCUAUCACAAAGGACCCUAAAUGCUUAAAUCCAGUUAACAGACUGGCCUUAUUUAUGAAUGGAUAAAUCUCUUUCUCUCUCUCUUUUCUCAUUUUCAAAUACACCUGCAAAAUCAUUUUAAAAGUGCCAUAAUGCUUGUGAUGGAAAAUUAAUUAUCUGUGAAGCUGUAGAUAAUUAUGACAAAUAUUUCAGCCUUAGUAAACUCUGUCUAAAUUCGUGUCUUCAAAAUGUGUAUGUAGUUUAAAAUAAUAAAAAAUGCUUGUAGGUCAUAGCUAAUAAUGUUCAUAACAGAAUAAAUAACUCAUAAGCUCACUCCAACUAAGGGUUAUUAUGUUUCCACUAGUUUAACAAUACUUUUUCAGUACAUUUUCACAGUUGUCAAGAAGCUUGAUGCAUUAAUAUUAUUUGGUAGGGAGUUAUUUAAAGAUUAUUCACACUUUUCCUAUCUCACUUUGGGGCUUUAGACAUACAUAAUAUCUUAAAUACUCAAAUGCUUUCAUCAUUUUGUCCCCCCAACCCUGCUCUACAGAAAUAGAAAGGCUGCAAAGAGUGAAAUGUCACUGCGUGGGAGAUUGUUCUGGGUUUUUUACUUUAAUGUAUGUGGUUUAAUUUUGAGGUCAGAUUUUGGUAUUCCCAGCACCUGCUCUUCUUCCUGGUUAGAGAAAGGGGCUGGGAAUGUUUUGUUGAAAAUGCCUGUGACAAAACCAGUCAGUCAACAAACAUAACAUAGUUUUCCAGCCUUGCUAGGCUGGGACACUAACACAUGCUAGCUUAAUUCUCUACAUUCAAAUUACUCCUUUGUGGACCAAGCUGGGAAGAGGUGGGUGACACAAACUUACCUUUUAUUUGGGAGAGGAAAGUCAAAUCAAUGCGCUUAAGAGCUGCUGUAGCUCACGAAAGCUUAUGCUCAAAUAAAUUUGUUAGUCUCUAAGGUGCCACAAGUCCUCCUUUUCUUUUUUAGAAGGGAGAGAGCAAUUGAGAGACUGAGUGGAUAGCUAUAUGGGUUCAUAGAGCUAUGGAGAAUUGAACUUGCUAAAGAGCGGGAGCCUUGAAUCCUCUGUAAUGGAUCUAUGGACUUCUACCUCCUUUUCCUAAGACUCCUCAACCAAUAGUUCCUCUCCUGGCAGUAGCUAAAAGCAUAUCCUUUCUCUUUUUUCUGAAAUAUAGUUGCAGGUGGGAACCCCACUUUAAGAUCUAGGGAGGAAUAAAAAUUUGGGGGUUAACUUAAGGCACAGGACUUGCAGACAAGAGAUUCCAGCACAACUUUCCUAUGUGAACUUGGAUCAGGCAUUGAACUUCUCUGUGCAUCAGUUUUUCCCCAUCUGUAAAAUGGUAAUAGUAACUCACAUUAACCCAGUGUGGAUCUUUAUCCCUCUCUAGUGUCAGGUCCACAUAAAAGAUAUUUCUCAGUUAUGUUUCUUCCUUCAAACUAAUGGAUCACAUUCUUUAGCUCAAGCAGUAGAGACUCAUGCUCUUAGAGCCAGAGGUUCAUUCCCCACAAAUUACUUGAUUAGGGUGUCCUUACAGGAUAAUAAUACUUUCCAACCUCAGAGGUGUGUUGCAAGGCUUCCCUACUCCAUGUUUAAAUGCUCUAAGAAUCUUGGGUGGAGAACACUGUAUAUAAGUGUAAAUUAGUGUUCCUAACUCUUUAAAUGUGAACUUCUGAAUACUAUUUUUAUUUA